AGCCGGGGAAGUAGCGGAGUCCUGCACCUGCAAUCCGCUUUAGCAGGGGUGAUGACGAUUUGAGGGUUUGCUUUUGUGAAGCUGCCCUUUAUAAGCGGCGUUGACGUUUGGGUCUUACGCAUCAUAGCUCUAUGAACCGUGUCAGGUCAGGAAUGAAGCAGCACUAAGUAGAUGUCUGUGAGUGACGUAAGGGCGCCUGGAUUGAGUUGGCUGUAGAGGUAACGUUCAUGAGACAAUCUCG
rnacentral:SRP_RNA from 1 species